CAAUAGCGUAUAUUAAAGUUGUUGCAGUUAAAACGCUCGUAGUCGGAUUUCGGGGCGGGCCGACCGGUCUGCCGAUGGGUAUGCACUGGCCGGCGCGUCCUUCCUUCCGGAGACCGUGCCUACUCUUAACUGAGCGGGUUCGGGAGACGGAUCGUUUACUUUGAAAAAAUCAGAGUGUUUCUAGCAGGCAGCUCGCUCUUGCAUAGGUUAGCAUGGGAUAAUUUAAUAGGACUUCUGGUGCUUAUUUUGUUGGUUCGAACACCGGAGUAAUGAUUAAAGGGGCAGUCAGGGGGCACUCGUAUUCCGUCGAGAGAGGUGAAAUUCUCAGACCAAUGGAAGACGAACCACUGCGAAAGCAUUUGCCAGGGAUGUUUUCACUGAUCAAGAACGAAAGUUAGGGGAUCGAAGACGAUUAGAUACCCA
rnacentral:rRNA from 1 species